CCUAGAGUUGUAGGCUUUGCCUGCUAUCUCUUACCCAUGUCUUUUGAGUACCUUACGUUUUCCUCGGUGGGUUCGCCCACCGAUUGGACAAACUUAAACCCUUUGCAGUUGAAAUCAGCGUCUGAAAAAACUUAAUAGUUAC
rnacentral:misc_RNA from 1 species